rnacentral:tRNA from 1 species
CGGAGUGUGGCUCAGUUGGUAGAGCGCUCGCUUUGGGAGCGAGAGGUCCCCAGUUCGAAUCUGGGCACUCCGA